AAUUUUAUGAUUUGAAAGUGUUCAUCUCAUAUAAGAAAUUUUAGAGGAGGAGUAUUGUAUUUUUGUUUGUUUAGUUCUUUCAAUUGGUUUCUACAUAAGCUAUAUAGUGAUGAUUAGGUUUGUUUUUCUAAUAUGUUAAUCUUCCUCUUUCUUCUUUACUGCCUUACUCUGCUCCCCCUCCCUUUUUUAAAAAAAUCUUUUUUGUUUGUUUUCUCUGGAUGUUGUUGAACUAUUUUUCCUUAUUGACAUGUUUUAUUCAGUAUUGUAUUCCUUUCUUCGUAAAAUAUUUUUAUUUGUUGCACUUAGGAUCUCUCAUUACCUCUGUGAGGUAGUGUUAUUAAGCUCCAUAGAACUCACUUAUGGAUUACAUUGGAUAUGAUGUUGUUAUUGUAUUUUUCUUUUAAUUCUUUUCAAUUAUUAAUUUAAUUGAAUAUGCAAUUUUCAAAUUUUAGUAGUAUUUUUGAGGCAAGGACUGAGUUUUAUUGGAGUAAGCCCCUGCUUCGACUGAAGUUAAAAUUUUCAGUUAGUGAUCAGUGAAAAAAAAAUAUUUUGAUAUAGCAGUUGAGUGCUUAGUAUCAGCAGAUUUAGGAUUUUUAAAUAAGAUUUUCUGGAUAGUGAUAAUAAAGAUUCGCAUAUGAUAGGAAGACAUGUUAUGAAGUUGAUGAGUAGCAAAUAUUAUACUUUGUUUACAUGAGAAGUGAGUUCCUCAUAUGAAAUAUGCUUUCGGAUAAACAUAAUGAGAGAUUGAAUUUUCUCUAGGUUCAACAUUGCGAAUGGUCUGCUUAUGGCUUGGUAUGUAGUGUUACAAUGAUUUUUUUCUAGAACUCUAAAGUCUUUGAAGAAAUAAGAAGAUCCUUAAUCUUGGGUUAAUUAUGUAUAUGAUUAUCGAUGAGAUUACAUCUGAUUCUUUCAAUUCUUGAGGAUGAACAAGUAUGGCUUGGAACAAGCAGUAGCUGGAGGAGUUGGAUUUCAACAACAAUGAGAUGAACGAGGAGUUCUUCUUAACGACAACAUUAGAUCAUGAUAUAUUGUAGACCCUUAAAUUAUAAAGAGUUGACUUAGUUUUUUGGAUUAUCUUUUAAGUUUAACGCAGGAAAAAAAGGAACAGAAAAUCUUAUGCACAUCAGAUUGACUUUAUUCCAUAUAUGUGAUUCUCUUUGAGUUA